ACUACCUUCCUGAUCUGUUUGCUUUCUCCACCACCUCACACACUCAACUACUUCCUUCAGUUUAAUUACUUUUACACCCCCCUCGGUCCCCCCUCUCUACACACGAAGGAUUUUGUCUCGCUUUUUCUUCUCGAACUCAUGAACUUGCUUUGGACGAACCCUCAAAAUCGUCAGUUGCGUAUGUAUUUCUAGGGAAAUAUCAUAAAGGUGCUUCCAUGGCGGAGGGUGGUUCGAGUUAUUAGAUAUAUGCAACACCUAUGACUGUCUUCACACAUCUCUUAGUGAUAUUGAUUGCAACCCUUGGCCGGUUUCGCUCAUACAAUUCCAUGAAGGAUUUGCUUUUAAAUCUCAUGUCAAAGCCAAGAUAUUUAAUUUAGGCCUUUAUUAAUCACCACGUAUAUAUGAAUCUUGACUAAAUCACUACCUUUUGCAGUUACAUCCUCUUCGGAUGACACUUGCAGUUAUUGAGAUUCUAAAUUUUCUUAAGAACUUGAUCAAAGAAACGUAUUUGUCUGUAUUUAACAAUAUCAAUUUCAAAAUUUAGUAGCUGUUGAUCGAUGAAUAGGGAUACCAUGUUUUGGAGGAGCACAGUCCGAGUUUGCGUCUUCUGCAGCUGAACGGUUUCUCCAAAUCAAUCUCAAACAAGGAUUCAAACAUCAGAGAUUAAAAGUCGUGGUCUCUUGGAGCAAAACCUGGAGUAGUGUUGAGCCCUGCAACACCAUUAAUACCAUUAAUAACCAUAGAGUAUAUGGUACAUUAUAUACAAUCUAGUACAUUUUAAGUAUAUUCUAAUGGAAUUAUUGAACGACAUUGUAUUUGUUGUUGUUGUUGUUGUUGAAUAGUGGUGGAUUUGGUGUUAA